AAUAGAUACCCUGGUAGUCCAUGCCGUAAACGUUGGGAACUAGAUGUAGGGCCUGUUCCACGGGUUCUGUGUCGUAGCUAACGCAUUAAGUUCCCCGCCUGGGGAGUACGGCCGCAAGGCUAAAACUCAAAGGAAUUGACGGGGGCCCGCACAAGCGGCGGAGCAUGCGGAUUAAUUCGAUGCAACGCGAAGAACCUUACCAAGGCUUGACAUAUAGAAGAACACUGCAGAGAUGCAGGACUCUUUGGACACUUCUAUACAGGUGGUGCAUGGUUGUCGUCAGCUCGUGUCGUGAGAUGUUCGGUUAAGUCCGGCAACGAGCGCAACCCUCGUCCUAUGUUGCCAGCGGGUUAUGCCGGGAACUCAUGGGAUACUGCCGUGGUCAACGACGGAGGAAGGUGGGGAUGACGUCAAAUCAUCAUGCCCCUUAUGUCUUGGGCUUCACGCAUGCUACAAUGGCCGGUACAAAGAGCGGCGAUACCGUAAGGUGGAGCGAAUCUCAAAAAGCCGGUCUCAGUUCGGAUUGGGGU
rnacentral:rRNA from 1 species